CCUACGGGGGGCAGCAGUAAGGAAUCUUGUGCAAUGGGGGAAACCCUGACACAGCCAUGCCGCGUGUGUGAAGAAGGCCCUAGGGUUGUAAAGCACUUUCAGUAGAGACGAAACAGCGGGGUUAAUAGCCCCGUGAUAUGACUUAACCUACAGAAGAAGAUCCGGCUAACUCCGUGCCAGCAGCCGCGGUAAUACGGAGGGAUCGAACGUUAAUCGGAAUUACUGGGCGUAAAGCGCGCGUAGGUGGUUCAUUAAGUGGGAUGUGAAAGCCCCGGGCUUAACCUGGGAACUGCAUUCCAAACUGGCGAACUAGAGUACGAUAGAGGGGGGUAGAAUUCACAGUGUAGCGGUGAAAUGCGUAGAUAUUGUGAGGAAUACCAGUGGCGAAGGCGGCCCCCUGGAUUGAUACUGACACUCAGUGUGCGAAAGCGUGGGGAGCA
rnacentral:rRNA from 1 species